rnacentral:rRNA from 1 species
GACGAACGCUGGCGGCGUGCUUAACACAUGCAAGUCGAACGGAAAGGCCCUGCUUUUGUGGGGUGCUCGGGUGGCGAACGGGUGAGUAACACGUGUGUAACCUGCCCUUGACUUUGGGAUAACUUCAGGAAACUGGGGCUAAUACCGGACAGGAGCUCCUGCUGCAUGGUGGGGGUUGGAAAGUUUCGGCGGUUGGGGAUGGACGCGCGGCUUAUCAGCUUGUUGGUGGGGUAGUGGCUUACCAAGUCUUUGACGGGUAGCCCGCCUGGGAGGGGGAACGGGGACAUUGGGACUAAGAGACGGCGCAGACGCGUACAGUAGACAGCAGGGGCGAGUAUGGUACAGUGGGAGGGAGCCUGAUGAAGCGGCGCCGCGUGCGGAAAGACGGCCUUCGGGGUAUAAACCGCUUUCGCCUGAGACGAAGCGUGAGUGACGGUAAUGGAUAAAGAAGCACCGGCUAACUACGUG